rnacentral:tRNA from 1 species
GGAGAGUUCGCAUAGAGGCCUAGUGCGUCGGUUUGCUAAACCGAUGUCGGAUUAUAUCCGACCAUGGGUUCGAAUCCCAUACUCUCCGCCA